rnacentral:rRNA from 1 species
GACGAACGCUGGCGGCGUGCCUAAUACAUGCAAGUAGAACGCACAGGAUGCACCGUAGUUUACUACACCGUAUUCUGUGAGUUGCGAACGGGUGAGUAACGCGUAGGUAACCUGCCUGGUAGCGGGGGAUAACUAUUGGAAACGAUAGCUAAUACCGCAUAAGAACAUUUACUGCAUGGUAGAUGUUUAAAAGGUGCAAGAGCAUCACUACCAGAUGGACCUGCGUUGUAUUAGCUAGUUGGUGAGGUAACGGCUCACCAAGGCAACGAUACAUAGCCGACCUGAGAGGGUGAUCGGCCACACUGGGACUGAGACACGGCCCAGACUCCUACGGGAGGCAGCAGUAGGGAAUCUUCGGCAAUGGGGGGAACCCUGACCGAGCAACGCCGCGUGAGUGAAGAAGGUUUUCGGAUCGUAAAGCUCUGUUGUUAAGGAAGAACGUGUGUGAGAGUGGAAAGUUCACACAGUGACGGUACUUAACCAGAAAGGGACGGCUAACUACGUGCCAGCAGCCGCGGUAAUACGUAGGUCCCGAGCGUUGUCCGGAUUUAUUGGGCGUAAAGCGAGCGCAGGCGGUUAGAUAAGUCUGAAGUGAAAGGCAGUGGCUCAACCAUUGUAGGCUUUGGAAACUGUUUAACUUGAGUGCAGAAGGGGAGAGUGGAAUUCCAUGUGUAGCGGUGAAAUGCGUAGAUAUAUGGAGGAACACCGGUGGCGAAAGCGGCUCUCUGGUCUGUAACUGACGCUGAGGCUCGAAAGCGUGGGGAGCGAACAGG